UCCUCCUUAGAUCUCCCUGUCCCUCAAUCCACCCAUGCCUGAUCAGUUUCUUCCUCAUCUGCUCAACUUUACUUCCCAUCACCUGCCCUUGCGUCGCUUUCACUUCUUUUUUUUCUUUCACUCCCAUCUGUUAAUUUAUAUGUACACCUAGCUCUCUCUUCCUCCUCUAGUUUUUAAUUUAGCCUUUUGAGACCCCUCCGCCUUCUCUCCUCCAUCCUUCUGCAGCCAAACAAAAAAAAAACAAACAUAUCUCUCCAUGUUAAUCACACCUCCUCUGAGUUUGUUUUGCUUGUCUUCUCGGCUCGCCUCUGAUUUCUUUCAUCUCCUCCAUCUUUGAUAAUCUUGCUGAUGAUUUUUAUGCGUUUUAAUGGGUCUUUUUUCUUUUUUGGCCUUGCAAGUGAUGGUGUAUUCACGUUUGCAGCUUGUUACUUCAUAGUUUCUUAUUAUGUGAUUACUUUUCCAUUUCUCCUUGCCUUGAUGUCGUGCAGUUUGUGAAGAGCAUGAGCUAGGGUUUCAGUGGUGGAGACUGGGAACUGAAGAACUUCUGCAAUACAAACCCUGUGAGAUCGUCUACUUGUGUUUAAUUCUUCAGAUUUUGGGCAGUGGUCUCUAUAAACACUAGUCUUAACAGUUAUUGAAUGGUUACGCAUGAGAGAGCUUCCUUCAGUCCACUCAUGGAUGGUUAUGGAGUUUGAAUCAGCUGCCGACUCAUUCAUUCAAACACUCAGUGGAUGAUAAGCAACAGUUCUGAUUUAAUUCUGAAGAAGAAGAAGAAAAGGAAGAAGAGCUUCGGAUUGCAGCUACUAUGUGAAUGAUUGAAUGAAGCGGGAGACUAUUCUCACUCAAUCUUUUCCUUGCUUGGACUGAAGGGAGCUCCCUCUUUCUCAUCUUUUAAGCAUAUACACUAAUUAAUGUUAUAUUUCUAGCCUGAAGUGUGAACAUUUAUAAUCCGAGAGAGAGAUACAAAAUUGAAUCAAAAUAUAGCUUAGUAAUUUACUCGUUUAGUUUAAUAAAAUUAUCAGGUUUGGUUUCAUAGUUUUACAGAUCAUUAAAAUCAGAUUAAACUGUCAUUAAGGCUCUUAUGGUGGUUUAUAUAUUUAUGGAAUUAUGGAGACAAGUUUGUAUUUGUUUUUUAGGCUCUUAUGGUAGGUUAUAUAUUUGAAUCUACAGUUUCAGACUGAAUUAAACUAAAUUUAAAUUGAUGUUUUGAUUUGGCUUGUCAUUCAACGGAAACAGUUCUGAUUAUUUUUUUGUUAAAUUACAGAUUGAAUAUGACAUCACUAAUGAUUCUUGAUUGGAACUUGUGUUUCAUUUUCUUUAUUAUUAAUUGCAGUUACACUUCAAGUGCCCUAUUUUUAGCAUUUGAAUCACCUUCGCGCUCACCUUGGAACUUGCAUAUCUUCCCUUGGUGAGUUUGCAUGGGGAGCUUGUAGAUUUAAUUAACCGUAAAGUUUCCUGGAAACAAGUAAAACCUGCACCUGAGGAAUUAUUAAACCGACUCCACUACCGCAUGUAGUGAACUCCAGAUCUGAAAAAAAACAAAGAAAAAUGAAAAAAAAACUUUAAAUUAUUAACUCUACAUGCUCGUGCAUCAGCAGUCAUAUUAAAAUACACUGUGACGCAGAUCCAUUAUCAUUUAAAUGAUUUGUCAUUAGUGAAGCAUGCACCAAGUGGUUCUUUUAUAAUUGGGUAAUUUGAUGUUUAAUGCCUUGAUUGCUCCUUAUAGUUGGAUGAGCAUUUAUGUGAUGUAUCAUAUUGGACACUCUCUCUCUCUCAUUCAUUCAUUCAUUGCCUUUCUUUAUGUUUUUUUUUAAUUAGUUUUAGUUUUUUUAUGUCUGUUUGUCAUCUUGCACAUAUAAGAAAAGUUCCUCGAGACCAGGAAGACUUGGCAGUGAGAUUGAAGUGCAAGUAAGCAAUGAAGGGCAGUGUUGUGUUUGGCAGUAACGGAGGGCGUUUGCAAAGGGUAGGGUGGUCCCUUGCCCUUCACCUGACUGCAUGUAACUAGCUGUUGAACGUAGGGAACGUAUUAAAGAAAGGGAAGUCUACCUGAUGCCUGCCUGCCUUCUCUCUCUCUCUCUUUUAUCUGAUGAAGAAAUUUCCAUAUUUGGGAUGUCUUUCAUCACUUUGCCUGGGGAAGGUGGUUUCCUAGUAAUAGGCCAUGAGCGAACCCCUGUAUUUUAUUGUAUACUUGCAUUUGUUUGUAGUUACAGAUAUUGCAGUUGAUUGUCGGAUACCCUUCA